GUGGCUGAGUGGCCUGCCCCGGGCUCAGUGCGCUCGCUGAUUGGUUCGGCUCCACCUCGUGGCAAACCUGGCAGAAGUGAUGCAACGGCAGCGAAGGUUUCCCCAGCGCCCGCAUGCAGCAAGGGCGCCUCGGAUUGCGUCAGGCGGCGGGCAGUGGGCAUGGGCCCGGCGUGGUCACGGGCAGUGGGCUUCUCCUUGGCAACUCCUCCUGGCCCGGGCCAUGCAGGAGCCAUAGCUGGUGGUCACUUCUCAUUUCCUUAUGAUAUGUUCCUUCUCGCUUCUCAUUCCUGACACUGUGAUCAACUUUUGCUGUUAGCAAGUAUGAUUAUCUGAAAUCAGCAGAAAAAUAAAGAGGAGCAUUGAGAGAAGAGAACCAUCUGUGGAUGUAUGAAACUGACCUGGGCCUAAGAAGAUAUGUGUGGCCCAAAUAUCUGUCUCUGAGGAAAAUGGACAGCAAUCUUCAGAUAAGUAAACUUCCAAUUUGAGCUCAGUCAGAGGGACCACUGGAGACACACAGGCUGGCCAUGUCUGUUGGGGCUGUGGCUCUGCCCUGCAGAAAGUGUCAUGACAAAAGGCAGGCCCAGGACCUGAGCCAACCUGUUGCUAAAUCAAGAUUCCUGAGAUCUCAGCUGGUUACCUUCUGUGAUACUAUAAGGUGUUUUUUUUGUUUUGUUUUGUUUUGGUUUGGGGCACUAGGGAUUGAACCCAGGAAUGUUUUACCAUUGAACUACAUUCCCAGUCCUUUUAAUUUUUUUAAUGUUUUUUUUUAAGGGCCUUGUGCAUGCAAAGCAAGCAUUCUACCAACUGAGCUAUAUC